rnacentral:rRNA from 1 species
GUGGGGAAUUUUGGACAAUGGGGGAAACCCUGAUCCAGCCAUGCCGCGUGUGUGAAGAAGGCCUUCGGGUUGUAAAGCACUUUCGGACGGAACGAAAUCGCGCGGGUGAACACCUCGCGUGGAUGACGGUACCGUAAGAAGAAGCACCGGCUAACUACGUGCCAGCAGCCGCGGUAAUACGUAGGGUGCGAGCGUUAAUCGGAAUUACUGGGCGUAAAGCGUGCGCAGGCGGCGUCGCAAGUCAGGCGUGAAAUCCCCGAGCUUAACUUGGGAAUUGCGCUUGAAACUACGAUGCUUGAGUGUGGCAGAGGGAGGUGGAAUUCCACGUGUAGCGGUGAAAUGCGUAGAUAUGUGGAGGAACACCGAUGGCGAAGGCAGCCUCCUGGGCCAACACUGACGCUCAUGCACGAAAGCGUGGGGAGCAAACAGGAUUAGAAACCCUAGUAGUCC